AUAUUUUAUGGUUCCAUCAUAGGUUCAAUGAAUUUCAAGUCAGUCACGACAGUAAUGAUUCUUCUCAGUCUUCUGUUGUUAUCCUUAGCAGCAACUCUGUUUAGAACUUCAUCAGAGACAACUGAGCAGAUAAGUCUCUUUCAAUAGAUGAGAUCAAUGGACCUUUGUUCUCUCAUUGUUGUACAAAGCCACUUUUUAAUUUUGUUUUAAGAGAAAAAGGAUCAUUCACAUGAUGCAGAGCUUACAGCUAUGGUGUGAUAGCUCCAAAAAGAUACUCCUCAAACUUCUACCAGUAGUGUUGCUAUGGCAUGCUUGGCCGAAAAACACUUUUCAAAAAUCAUAUCCUUAUUGAGAUUGUAGUUAUAAAUAAUUGGGAGGAUCUAAAAAGCUGGACAACUGAGGGUUUCAGUGCUGAUUAGAGCAUAGUAUAUCAAGAUUGGGACCUGAGAACUGUUUGUUCAGCUCAUAAAGUAUGCAGUCAAUUACUGGAAUUUUUCAUUAUGUUAUCUUGAAGUCGAUGUGGAAUCACUCUUGUAUGUCCAUGACCAUCAGUAAAGAUGAUGUCUAAUAGUGGUUCUGACUUCUGAGCUGGACUGUAAAGUAAAGGCCGAAAAGACAAAUUUAAUCCUGGCAAUAUCAAAAAACAGCAAUUCAUAUUGACUAUAGUCUAAUGAUGUAAAAUUUUGUUGCUGUCAUUUUUAUUCAUAAAAAAUGAUAAUUCAAAUUGCAGCAAAUUUAGUGGUGCUAACACUGACACUAUA
rnacentral:lncRNA from 1 species